rnacentral:rRNA from 1 species
UACAGAGGGGCAAGCGUUGUUCGGAUUUACUGGGCGUACAGGGAGCGUAGGCGGUUGGAUAAGCCCUCCGUGAAAUCUCCAGGCUUAACCUGGAAAGUGCAGAGGGGACUGUUCAGCUAGGGGAUGGGAGAGGAGCGCGGAAUUCCCGGUGUAGCGGUGAAAUGCGUAGAGAUCGGGAGGAAGGCCGGUGGCGAAGGCGGCGCUCUGGAACAUUUCUGACGCUGAGGCUCGAAAGCGUGGGGAGCAAACGGG